UGAUAGCUAUGAAGCGUGAGGUUGCUGUGUGCCAUACACAGGUUUUCCGUGGAGCGAAUGUCAAGUUAGGAAACUGGCGACAA
rnacentral:ncRNA from 1 species